rnacentral:rRNA from 1 species
CAACGUAAACAACCUGCCUUCAGGAUGGGGACAACAGACGGAAACGACUGCUAAUACCGAAUAAGUUCCAAGAGCCGCAUGGCCCAUGGAAGAAAAGGUGGCCUCUACCUGUAAGCCAUCGCCUGAAGAGGGGUUUGCGUCUGAUUAGCUGGUUGGAGGGGUAACGGCCCACCAAGGCGACGAUCAGUAGCCGGUCUGAGAGGAUGAACGGCCACACUGGAACUGAGACACGGUCCAG